rnacentral:rRNA from 1 species
UACGUAGGUGACAAGCGUUAUCCGGAAUUACUGGGCGUAAAGCGCACGCAGGCGGCGCGGUAAGUCUGAUGUGAAAUCUCCCGGCUUAACUGGGAGGGGUCAUCGGAAACCAUCUGGCUAGAGUCCGGAAGAGGAGAGUGGAACUCCUGGUGUAGCGGUGAAAUGCGCAGAUAUCAGGAAGAACACCAAUGGCGAAAGCAGCUCUCUGGGACGGUACUGACGCUGAGACGCGAAAGCGUGGGGAGCGAACAGG